rnacentral:lncRNA from 1 species
CUAUCCAAAGAAAUCAAACAGUGUCAGUGUUUUCCAAUGUGAUCUGUUCUUCCCUGUCUUGAAGGCUCGGAGAAGCAAAUCUCACCUGUAACCCCAUUCAUUGUCGUACCAAGCAACCACCUUGACCAUGUCGUCGCCCAUCACCAUGGUCAGCGAUGAAUCGAUGGUGGAAGACACGUCGCUGCAGCGGAAGUCGACGGACACCAGAGGCACGUCACACACCGCAAGGAUGCCCUUCAAUGGCCCCUGGGCCGCCUUCCUGAAGGCGUUGUUCACGUCCUCAGCCGUCAUCCCUUUCUUCGCCACGUUCACCACCAGGUCCACCACCGACACGUUCGGCGUCGGCACCCGGAGGGCGAUCCCGUUCAGUUUGCCCUUGAGUUGGGGCAGCACCAGCGACACCGCUUUCGCUGCUCCGGUGCUCGUCGGGACGAUGUUAAGUGCUGCAGCCCUCGCACGUCUCAGGUCCCGGUGUGAUGCAUCCAGCAACCUCUGCAGUCGCACACAUGAACAUAAAGAUACCGGGAGAAGGAGAUGAACAACGGAGACUGUAUCCAAAGGAGAACCUGAUCCCCUGUGUAAGAGUGAGUUGUUGUCAUGGUUCCCUUCACAAUGCCUGCAAGGAUUAGAAAAGGCAAUGGACGAGCUCAGUAAAAUGCAGGGCAAUCUUUGCUUUUCGGUAGAUUGCAGUGCAGAUACAAGCAAUUCAUACCAAAUUCUUCAUCCAUGACCUUCACAAAAGGAGCGAGGCAAUUCGUCGUGCAAGAUGCAUUGCUGCAAGUAGGAAUCGAACCAGUAAAUAUCAUGAUAUUAAUGGAACUACAAGGAAAGGAAAUUAAAGAUCAUCUUUGCCACCCAACCUGACUAUGUUUGACGCCUCGUGAUGGUAGUCGCCUUCGUUCACGCCGACAACGUAGGUUGGGAUAUCGGCUCCUUUCGCCGGUGCCGUGAUGAUAACCUUCUUCGCGCCGGCUUGUAUGUGUUUUCCAGCUCCUGGGCCAUCAACGAAGACUCCUGUCCCCUGUUUUCGGUGAACCUUGCAUGAGGUUCGUAAGCUCGGACAAGUGAAUCCUUUCAAUCAAACUCUGUAACAGUACCUCGAUGACAAUGUCGAUUCCUAGCUCGGCCCAUGGCAGCUUCAGAGGGUCACGAUUGGAGACGACCUUGAUGGGCUUGCCAUCAACACUUAUCGUCUCGUUGUCCACAAUCUUCACGUCAGCUUUGAAGGUGCCAAGCAUGGAGUCGUAUUUGAGAAGGUGAGAAGCCUAUGGGAGAAGGCCUUGUCAGAAACUUGGAACGGCAGUAAUAACACAAGCAUGAAGUGCAGGAGCAGAAGAGGAGAGACGUAUCGUACAUUCUUGACACCGCCACUGUCAUUUACGACCAGCACUUCGAGUGGGGAGUCCUUCCGGCCGUGCCAGCAGCGGAGGAAGUUCCGGCCAAUCCUCCCAAAGCCAUUGAUCGCAACCUUCAGCUUCGCGACGGUCUCCCCCCUAACAGGAACAGCCCUCGCAGUCUGAAGCUAUGAACAGAACCAAGAACAAAACCAUCAACUGACACAGAAUCAUGAUUCUACAAACAGAACACCAGCUCACGAUUUGCAAAGCAAAAAACCAUGACAAUUGCAGGAAAUAAUCGAUCACAAGAUCGAAUUUGACCAGAUUAAUAACAUCUUGGUAAUCAUUAUAAAAUCACUAGUACAGAUGAAGCAGAGCAACAUGCUUCCUGAAAUAUAGACUUGGAAGUUUGCUGCUGUCAUAGAACUUGCCUU